GUGCUCACUUCGGCAGCACAUAUACUAAAAUUGGAACCAUACAGAGAAGAUUAGCAUGGCCUCUGCACAAGGAUGACGCGCAAAAAGAGAAAGAAAAAAAAGAAAAGA
ensembl:snRNA U6 U6 spliceosomal RNA